CACAUAGUUUUAUCUUUGUCUUAUGCAACAUUUGGGGUAAAAAGAAGGUUACAUGGUAACCAGUUUAAAUCAUGAACUACGGGCAAAGAUUGACCAGGCCAGGCCCUGAGACACACACUGUGUUGAGAGCCAAGAUGCAAAGUGGUGAAGAUUCAGGCUCAGAGCCCAGCAGGCCACAGGGUGGAGGGGUGAUGUGAGUUAUCAACCAGUGACUGCUCCUGGGUCAGGAAUGACUUUUUGACCCUUUUUUGGAUUUUCUAUCAUGAGCAAGAAGAACAGUCUCUCCAUGAUCAGGGAAACAUCAGCAGGGGCUUCCUCAAUUGGUGCUUUUCUCCUUCAUCCCCACCACAGAGUCAUAGAGGUCAAGUCCUUUUCUUGUUAAACCUAAAAAACGCAAAUGUCAAAGUUGCUGCUAUGGUGUACUAACUUUUGUCACAGUGACAUGCCCUGUCACAGGGCAUAUGUAUUCUGUUAUACGAUUGAAAUAUUGGAUAUACUAUUGUUUUUGUACUAUUGAAAUCUCGAAUAAACUGAAUUCUAAAAUAAG